AGUACGGCCGCAAGGUUAAAACUCAAAUGAAUUGACGGGGGCCCGCACAAGCGGUGGAGCAUGUGGUUUAAUUCGAUGCAACGCGAAGAACCUUACCUGGUCUUGACAUCCACGGAAGUUUUCAGAGAUGAGAAUGUGCCUUCGGGAACCGUGAGACAGGUGCUGCAUGGCUGUCGUCAGCUCGUGUUGUGAAAUGUUGGGUUAAGUCCCGCAACGAGCGCAACCCUUAUCCUUUGUUGCCAGCGGUCCGGCCGGGAACUCAAAGGAGACUGCCAGUGAUAAACUGGAGGAAGGUGGGGAUGACGUCAAGUCAUCAUGGCCCUUACGACCAGGGCUACACACGUGCUACAAUGGCGCAUACAAAGAGAAGCGACCUCGCGAGAGCAAGCGGACCUCAUAAAGUGCGUCGUAGUCCGGAUUGGAGUCUGCAACUCGACUCCAUGAAGUCGGAAUCGCUAGUAAUCGUGGAUCAGAAUGCCACGGUGAAUACGUUCCCGGGCCUUGUACACACCGCCCGUCACACCAUGGGAGUGGGUUGCAAAAGAAGUAGGUAGCUUAACCUUCGGGAGGGCGCUUACCACUUUGUGAUUCAUGACUGGGGUGAAGUCGUAACAAGGUAACC
rnacentral:rRNA from 1 species